CAGUAGCCACGGUAAUACAGAGGGUGCGAGCGUUAAUCGGAUUUACUGGGCGUAAAGCGUGCGUAGGCGGCUUCUUAAGUCGGAUGUGAAAUCCCUGAGCUUAACUUAGGAAUUGCAUUCGAUACUGGAAAGCUAGAGUAUGGGAGAGGAUGGUAGAAUUCCAGGUGUAGCGGUGAAAUGCGUAGAGAUCUGGAGGAAUACCGAUGGCGAAGGCAGCCAUCUGGCCUAAUACUGACGCUGAGGUACGAAAGCAUGGGGAGCAAACAGGAUUAGAUACCCCGGUAGUCCCUGUCUCUUAUAC
rnacentral:rRNA from 1 species